CGCGUAGGCGGUCAUUUAAGUCAGGUGUGAAAGCCCCCCGGCUCAACUGGGGAAAGCCACCUGAUACUGGAUGACUUUGAGUGCGGGAGAGGGAAGUGGAAUUCCAUGUGUAGCGGUGAAAUGCGUAGAUAUAUGGAGGAACACCAGUGGCGAAGGCGGCUUCCUGGACCGUAACUGACGCUGAGGCGCGAAAGCUGGGGGAGUGAACG
rnacentral:rRNA from 1 species